AUAAGCCAGCUUGACUGCGAGCGUGACGGCGCGAGCAGGUGCGAAAGCAGGUCAUAGUGAUCCGGUGGUUCUGAAUGGAAGGGCCAUCGCUCAACGGAUAAAAGGUACUCCGGGGAUAACAGGCUGAUACCGCCCAAGAGUUCAUAUCGACGGCGGUGUUUGGCACCUCGAUGUCGGCUCAUCACAUCCUGGGGCUGAAGUAGGUCCCAAGGGUAUGGCUGUUCGCCAUUUAAAGUGGUACGCGAGCUGGGUUUAGAACGUCGUGAGACAGUUCGGUCCCUAUCUGCCGUGGGCGCUGGAGAACUGAGGGGGGCUGCUCCUAGUACGAGAGGACCGGAGUGGACGCAUCACUGGUGUUCGGGUUGUCAUGCCAAUGGCACUGCCCGGUAGCUAAAUGCGGAAGAGAUAAGUGCUGAAAGCAUCUAAGCACGAAACUUGCCCCGAGAUGAGUUCUCCCUGACUCCUUGAGAGUCCUGAAGGAACGUUGAAGACGACGACGUUGAUAGGCCGGGUGUGUAAGCGCAGCGAUGCGUUGAGCUAACCGGUACUAAUGAACCGUGAGGCUUAACCUUACAACGCCGAAG
rnacentral:rRNA from 1 species